rnacentral:rRNA from 1 species
AGCGGCGAACGGGUGAGUAACACGUGAACAACCUGCCCCGAAGUCCGGGAUAACCCGGGGAAACUCGAGCUAAUACCGGAUACCCCCUACUGAUCGCAUGGUCGGUAGAGGAAAGAUUUAUCGCUUCGGGAGGGGUUCGCGGCCUAUCAGCUAGUUGGUGAGGUAACGGCUCACCAAGGCAUCGACGGGUAGCUGGUCUGAGAGGACGAUCAGCCACACUGGGACUGAGACACGGCCCAGACUCCUACGGGAGGCAGCAGUGGGGAAUCUUGCGCAAUGGGCGAAAGCCUGACGCAGCAACGCCGCGUGCGAGAGGAAGGCCUUAGGGUCGUAAAUCGCUUUCGACAGGGACGAAAUUGACGGUACCUGUAGAAGAAGCCCCGGCCAACUACGUGCCAGCAGCCGCGGUAACACGUAGGGGGCGAGCGUUGUCCGGAUUUAUUGGGCGUAAAGAGCUCGUAGGCGGCUUAGUAAGUCUGCUGUGAAAGCUCCAGGCUUAACCUGGAGAGGCCAGUGGAUACUGCUAUGGCUAGAGUCCGGUAGGGGAGCGUGGAAUUCCCAGUGUAGCGGUGGAAUGCGCAGAUAUUGGGAGGAACACCAGCGGCGAAGGCGGCGCUCUGGACCGGAACUGACGCUGAGGAGCGAAAGCAUGGGUAGCAAACAGAUUAGAUACCCUGGUAGUCCAUGCCGUAAACGUUGGGCACUAGUGUGGGAUCCCGUCAACGGAUUCCGUGCCGUAGCUAACGCAUUAGUGUCCCGCCUGGGG